AAUAGCUCACUGGUCGAGUCGGCCUGCGCGGAAGAUGUAACGGGGCUAAACCAUGCACCGAAGCUGCGGCAGCGACACUUAGGUGUUGUUGGGUAGGGGAGCGUUCUGUAAGCCUGCGAAGGUGGCCUGUGAGGGCUGCUGGAGGUAUCAGAAGUGCGAAUGCUGACAUAAGUAACGAUAAUGCGGGUGAAAAACCCGCACGCCGGAAGACCAAGGGUUCCUGUCCAACGUUAAUCGGGGCAGGGUGAGUCGACCCCUAAGGCGAGGCUGAAAAGCGUAGUCGAUGGGAAACAGGUUAAUAUUCCUGUACUCGGUGUUACUGCGAAGGGGGGACGGAGAAAGCUAGGUUAUCCGGGCGACGGUUGUCCCGGUUUAAGCGUGAAGGUGGAUGACUUUGGUAAAUCCGGGUCAUCGUUAACACUGAGGCGUGAUGACGAGUCACUACGGUGAUGAAGUAACCGAUGCUACGCUUCCAGGAAAAGCCUCUAAGCUCCAGGUAACAUCAAAUCGUACCCCAAACCGACACAGGUGGUCAGGUAGAGAAUACUCAGGCGCUUGAGAGAACUCG
rnacentral:rRNA from 1 species